AGGGGGUUUGAUCAUGGGCUCAGGAUCAACGCUGGCGGCGUGCUUAACACAUGCAAGUCGAGCGUGAAAGCGGCCUCGGUCGUUAGUAGAGCGGCGGACGGGUGAGGAACACGUGGGUAACCUACCCUCGGGUGGGGAAUAACCCAGGGAAACCUGGGCUAAUUCCGCAUAAUAUCCUUAGCUCACAAGAGUUUUGGAUCAAAGCUGGGGACCCUUCGGGGCCUGGCGCCUGGGGAGGGGCCCGCGGCCGAUUAGCUUGUUGGUGAGGUAACGGCUCACCAAGGCUCCGAUCGGUAGCCGGCCUAAGAGGGCGGACGGCCACACUGGGACUGAGACACGGCCCAGACUCCUACGGGAGGCAGCAGUGGGGAAUUUUUGUCAAUGGGGGAAACCCUGAACAAGCAACGCCGCGUGGAGGACGAAGACCUUCGGGUCGUAAACUCCUGUCGGAGGGGACGAAAGCGGUUACGGUUAAUACCCGUAGUCGUUGACGGUACCCUAAGAGGAAGCCCCGGCUAACUCCGUGCCAGCAGCCGCGGUAAUACGGGGGGGGCAAGCGUUGUUCGGAAUUACUGGGCGUAAAGGGCGUGUAGGCGGUCCUGCAAGUCCUUCGUGAAAUCCCACAGCUCAACUGUGGAACUGCGAGGGAAACUGCAGGACUUGA
rnacentral:rRNA from 1 species